GAUGAACGCUGGCGGCGUGCCUAAUACAUGCAAGUCGAGCGAACAGACGAGGAGCUUGCUCCUCUGACGUUAGCGGCGGACGGGUGAGUAACACGUGGAUAACCUACCUAUAAGACUGGGAUAACUUCGGGAAACCGGAGCUAAUACCGGAUAAUAUAUUGAACCGCAUGGUUCAAUAGUGAAAGACGGUUUUGCUGUCACUUAUAGAUGGAUCCGCGCCGCAUUAGCUAGUUGGUAAGGUAACGGCUUACCAAGGCAACGAUGCGUAGCCGACCUGAGAGGGUGAUCGGCGACACUGGAAGUGAGACGCGGCCCAGACUCCUACGGGAGGCAACAGUAGGGAAUCUUCCGCAAUGGGCGAAAGCUUGACGGAGCAACGCCGCGUGAGUGAUGAAGGUCUUCGGAUCGUAAAACUCUGUUAUUAGGAAAGAACAAAUGUGUAAGUAACUAUGCACGUAUUGACGGUACCUAAUCAGAAAGCCACGGCUAACUACGUG
rnacentral:rRNA from 1 species